UGUUAAAAAUUUUAUCGACUUUUAUUAUUAAAAACUGAUAUGAAGAACAAAAUAACCAAAUAGUUAUACGUGGUGUGCCAUGUAAAUUUCAUGUUGACAUACAUGGGCCAGUUUUUAACUGUAAAAAUGGAUAAAAUUUUUAACA
rfam:Gossypium arboreum cultivar AKA8401 contig_26399_1, whole genome shotgun sequence.